AGUGAACGCUGGCGGUAGGCCUAACACAUGCAAGUCGAACGGCAGCACAGUAAGAGCUUGCUCUUACGGGUGGCGAGUGGCGGACGGGUGAGGAAUACAUCGGAAUCUACUUUUUCGUGGGGGAUAACGUAGGGAAACUUACGCUAAUACCGCAUACGACCUACGGGUGAAAGCAGGGGAUCUUCGGACCUUGCGCGAUUGAAUGAGCCGAUGUCGGAUUAGCUAGUUGGCGGGGUAAAGGCCCACCAAGGCGACGAUCCGUAGCUGGUCUGAGAGGAUGAUCAGCCACACUGGAACUGAGACACGGUCCAGACUCCUACGGGAGGCAGCAGUGGGGAAUAUUGGACAAUGGGCGCAAGCCUGAUCCAGCCAUACCGCGUGGGUGAAGAAGGUCUUCGGGUUGUAAAGCCCUUUUGUUGGGAAAGAAAAGCAGCAUGUUAAUACCCCGCUGUUCUGACGGUACCCAAAGAAUAAGCACCGGCUAACUUCGUG
rnacentral:rRNA from 1 species